GCCAUACUUUCCUGUAUAGGAGAAUAGAGUGGUAUAGGUUUAUACAAAGAGAAUUUUACUUCUAGAGACACAUUAUCACUUUACGAUUACAUUUAGCACAUCUUACUUUUGACACACUUUUUUCAUAUGAAUUGUCACUUUUACCUUUUCAUUACACAAACUAUAGAUUUCAGAAAAAUAUUUACGAUUCUCCACUUAUCCUCUUUGUUUCUUUUUCAUGUUUAAAAUUUAAAAUCACUUUCCCAAAUCGAUGAAUCCUAAUUUUCCCUCCGUCUGCUGAAUAAAUGGAGAACAGGUGACUGAGUUGCUACGAGAGUCUCUCGGAUUCGUUCAAGUCGACAUGUUAUGUGGAUGAGGAGCAUGUUACGGGUUUUGGAGCUUUCAAUUUGGAUGAAUAGCUAUUCGAACAUUCCGAAGGAUUCAUAAACAAUGGCUUUGACGACAACAGAUCAAAUCCGAUGAUGGCGUCUCCUCCAUGGCCGCUCGUCGCUGAGAGAAGAAAGAGUCAGAGAGAUGUUGAGCUAGAGGUUGAGUUAUUUCCAGGAGCUGAUUACAAGAUAAUCACCAAGGAUCUCCGUCGCCGGUGACACAAAACCCAGAAACCGGUCUGCUUCCUCGCAUGUCCAGUUCCUGGUCAGAUUCAGUGGCCAACCGUGGCCGAGCUACACCCGUGACGUCUCCUUGCGGCAAUCUCCAAGCUCUCUGUCGCCGUGAACCCAAAACUUGAUAACUUCCAAUGACGAUCUCUUCUUAGUUUCAUAGUAGGUCCCUAAAUGCUUUAUUAUUUUCCCAUUGUGCUUUAAACUUCUAAAUUGUACAGAAAAUUCUUUUUGAAUCAACCCCCCUAACUUCCAAUUUUGUACUCUAAACCUUUUCCAUAAUUGCACAAUGGUCAAUUGUUUUCUGAUGUUUUUUUAAUUUGGAUACAAAAUUUUGAAUUUGCAGAAAUGACUGAUCUGUGUGAAAUAUAUGUAUACAACUUGUCCAUCCACAAUCUAUCCAUCCAUAAUUUUAUGUAAUUUUUUUU
rnacentral:lncRNA from 1 species